ACAUUUUAACACUGAUCUGCUGCUGUUGAGGCAUAUGCCAUUUUGUUAGGCCUUCUCAAAUGGGAAUCAGGAAUGCUACUGUGUUCCAGAGAUGUUUUGUUUCCGGUAGGGCUGAAGCAGUGCCUACUCAAUAGAACCGGUCAUCGUGCAAAGAAAUGCCACCUGACUCAAAGGCAAAGCCAGAGUGUAGCUUGGAGCAAAGAAGUUAAAAGAAUAUUGGCAGAGAAACAGCUCUGGUGGUCCAGCAGGAGUGAAGAAGAACAGGAAAACAAAUGGCAGUGUCCCUGAGACAGCCACUUCUGGUGGUUGCAACUCACCUGGGGAUUCAGCAACGGGUAUCGACGGAGAGGGCCCUACGUCAUCUGCACCCCUCAAGGAUCUGGAGAGCCCGUCCCAAGAACUAGCAGCUGCCCUGGACUCGAGGUCCGUCAAAAUCAGUCAACUGAAGAACACCAUCAAAUCUUUGAAACAACAGAAGAAACAAGUGGAACAUCAGCUGGAAGAAGAAAAGAAGGCAAACAAUGAGACACAGAAAGCCGAAAGGGAGCUGGAGGUGAGUGGAGGGUGUGAAGGUUUCUCCCGUCCUCCGGGGAAUGUUUCUUUCCUUCUCUUUCAGCACUUGCUUGGCUUUUCUCCCAAAGGUUCAAAUCCAGAGACUGAACAUGCAGAAAGGGAAACUAAGUACGGACCUGUAUCGCACAAAACGCUCGCUCAGAUACUUUGAAGGUGGGAAUCUGGGCACCCUGUCAUCCUUCAACCUGGCACUUUGACAGGUCUUUAGGGGAGUCCUUUGGGACCCAUCUCACAUCUGUCAUUACAGAAGAGUCCAAGGAUCUGGCUGGCCGCCUGCAACAUUCAUUGCAGCGUAAACGAGAGUUACAGCGGGCUCUGUCUGCUGUCACCGCCACACAGAAGAAGGAGGACAGGGUGAGUCUGACCACCUGACC
rnacentral:lncRNA from 10 species